rnacentral:rRNA from 1 species
CCUACGGGAGGCAGCAGUGAGGAAUAUUGGUCAAUGGACGAGAGCCUGAACCAGCCAAGUAGCGUGAAGGAUGACUGCCCUACGGGUUGUAAACUUCUUUUAUAAAGGAAUAAAACGAGGCACGUGUGCCUUUUUGCAUGUACUUUAUGAAUAAGGAUCGGCUAACUCCGUGCCAGCAGCCGCGGUAAUACGGAGGAUCCGAGCGUUAUCCGGAUUUAUUGGGUUUAAAGGGAGCGUAGACGGCUUGAUAAGUGAGAUGUGAAAGUUGCGGGCACAACCGUAAAAAUGCAUUUGAUACUGGUGGUAUUGAGAGCAGUUGAGGUAGGCGGAAUUCAUGGUGUAGCGGUGAAAUGCUUAGAGAUC